rnacentral:misc_RNA from 1 species
GGAUGAAGAACGUAGCGAAAUGCGAUAAGUAGUGUGAAUUGCAGAAUUCAGUGAAUCAUCGAAUCUUUGAACGCACAUUGCGCCCCUUGGUAUUCCAUGGGGCAUGCCUGUUCGAGCGUCAUUUACACCCUCAAGCUCUGCUUGGUGUUGGGCGUCUGUCCCGCUGCUUUGCGCGGACUCGCCUCAAAGGUAUUGGCAGCGAUCAUGCCAGCUUCUCGCGCAGCACAUUGCGCUUCUUGAAGUUCUGGUGGAUCAGCGUCCAUUAAGCUUACCUUCAUGACUUGACCUCGGAUCAGGUAGGGAUACCCGCUGAACUUAAGCAUAUCAAUAGCGGAGGA